AGGAAACCCAGAUCCCUAAUUCGGCUUCAAUUUCAAUAACUUUAUUGAUGGCCUUUCCUGCCCAAUGGCCAAUGGCCAACACUCCCUAGUCCCGGGAAGAGGGAGCGCAUCGCUGGAUGUGAUUGGGCUCUCUGCACCAAGUGGCCCCCAAAUCGAGCUGCAGCCAUGGUAAACACCACCAGCGACCGGGUGUCUGUGGAGUGUCACCGCACCACAGCUGCACGUGCAGAGGGAGACGCGCCAUGACCCGGGCAAGGAGCACAAGAUCCUGGUGGGGAGCAUCAGCGACCUAGGCCUCUUCAGCCUGCUGGACUGCAAGUUCCCUGGGGACAAAGAGUUUGUAUCAUGGCAGCAGGAUUUGGAUGACUGCAUAAAGCCCACCCAGCAGGCCCAGCCUACUGCUAUCCACUGCUCUGAAGGAGGCAAGGAGGUCUUCAUUU